rnacentral:rRNA from 1 species
AAAAGACUUAGUCCUAACCUUACUGUUAGUUGUUGCUAGGAUUAUACAUGCGAGUAUCCGCGCCCCAGUGAGUAAGCCCUGGACACCUAACUUAGGCAGAUAGGAGCGGGCAUCAGGCACACCACCACAGUGGUAGCCCAAGACGUCUAGCAAUUGCCACGCCCCCACGGGUCCUCAGCAGUAGUUAAUAUUAAGCAAUGAGUGUAAACUUGACUUAGCCAUAGCAAAUCUUAGAGUCGGUAAAUCCUGUGCCAGCCACCGCGGUCAUACAGGAGACUCAAAUUAACUUUAUAACGGCGUAAAGCGUGGUCGCAUGUUAUCCAAGUAGCUAAGAUUAAAAAGCAACUGAGCUGUCAUAAGCCCAAGAUGCUCAUAAGGCCACCGUCCUCAAAGAAGAUCUUAGAAUAACGAUUAAUUGAAUCCACGAAAGCCAGGGCCCAAACUGGGAUUAGAUACCCCACUAUGCCUGGCCCUAAAUCUUGAUACUCUACCCCCUACUCGAGUAUCCGCCCGAGAACUACGAGCACAAACGCUUAAAACUCUAAGGACUUGGCGGUGCCCCAAACCCACCUAGAGGAGCCUGUUCUGUAAUCGAUGAUCCACGAUAUUACCUGACCAUUUCUUGCUUUAUAACAGCCUAUAUACCGCCGUCUCCAGCUCACCUUCCCUGACAGCCCAACAGUGAGCGCAAUAGCCUAACCCGCUAGUAAGACAGGUCAAGGUAUAGCCUAUGGAAUGGAAGCAAUGGGCUACAUUUUCUAGUAUAGAACAUACGGCAUGGGGACUUGAAACUGUCCCCUGAAGGCGGAUUUAGCAGUAAAGAGAGACAAUCGAGCCCUCUUUAAGCCGGCUCUGGGACACGUACAUACCGCCCGUCACCCUCCUCUCAGGCGACCCCAAACCACCAAUAACUAAUAAGCCACUCAGCCAAAGAUGAGGUAAGUCGUAACAAGGUAAGUGUACCGGAAGGUGCACUUAGAAUACC